rnacentral:rRNA from 1 species
CAGCUAUUGAGAAGGAACACCCAGAAAAAGGUAACCCACCACCAAAAUCAAGUGGCCCAAAAGCAGCCACCUUCAGAAAGCGUUAAAGCUCCAUUUGAAGACAAUUAAAUACCCAAACUUAACCUUAACCCUUUAUUUCUACUGUAGUGAUUCUAUAUUUAUAUAGAAACCCUAAUGCUAAAACUAGUAACAAGAAAACGACUUUCUCCAUAAUAUACCUAUAAGUCAAAAUGGACAAACCACUGACAAUUAACGCCAUGAGCCCAAUAUAAUAACUCUCCAAGAAAAUCUUAUAUAUUUAGGCGUUAACCUUACACAAGAGUAUUUCCGGAAAGAUUAAAAGAAAGGGAAGGAACUCGGCAAAUCUUAACCCCGCCUGUUUACCAAAAACAUCGCCUCUUGACAACCCAUAAGAGGUCCAGCCUGCCCAGUGAUAUAAUUCAACGGCCGCGGUACCCUGACCGUGCGAAGGUAGCAUAAUCACUUGUUCUCUAAAUAAGGACUAGUAUCAAUGGCACCACGAGGGAUAUACUGUCUCCCCUUUUUAAUCAGUGAAACUGAUCUCCCCGUGAAGAAGCGGGGAUAAAUCUACAAGACGAGAAGACCCCAUGGAGCUUUAAACCCAAUAACACCAACACUUAAGUAUACCCAUAAAAUAAACAGAACUGUUUAUUGGUUUUAGGUUGGGGUGACCACGGAGUAAAACUAAGCCUCCACGACGAAUACACCUAUCUCAGAGCUACCCCUCUAAGAAUCAAAACUUUGACGUAACCUGAUCCGACUUUCGAUCAACGAACCAAGUUACCCUGGGGAUAACAGCGCAAUCCAUUUCAAGAGCCCCUAUCGACAAAUGGGUUUACGACCUCGAUGUUGGAUCAGGGUAUCCCAGUGGUGCAGCCGCUACUAAAGGUUUGUUUGUUCAACAAUUAAAACCCUACGUGAUCUGGAAGUUCAGACCA